AAAAGAGAGAGAGAGAGAGAGAGAGAGAGAGAGAGAGAGAGAGAGAGAGAGAGAGAGAGAGAGAGAGAGAGAGAGAGAGAGAGAUAAAUGUCCCCAAAACUUACCUUAACCUUCUCAGAAAACAUUAAAAGACUUACAAACAUGCGUAAAUAAUUAAGCUUCCGUGGCAGGACCGAUUCAAACACCGACCCAUUAAAAAUCUAACUUACGCUAGUCAGAUCGUAAAAAAUUGAUAGAUUGACGUAGCUGUGUAUAGAAGAAGUACUGACUCCACAACCAGAUGCAAUAAUGAAAGUGCUGACGUACGUAAAGAUGCAAUAAAUAGACGUAGAAAAGAUGGACGACGUAAUAAUUAGGAGGGAAAGGAAUACUGAUAAAAUACGUUAAAUAUCAAGUUUAUUUCAAGAAUCUCGUACACAUUGCAAUAAUAACAAUAAUUAUUAAUGUUUAGUUUAUGUGAGAGAGAGAGAGAGAGAGAGAGAGAGAGAGAGAGAGAGAGAGAGAGAGAGAGAGAGAGAGAGCGCUCCUUACCACCACCACCACCACUAUCUCAUAUCAGGGACAAAGAGAACAUAUCGUAAUAAACCAAAUAAAACUUGACGCAACCAAAGUUAAACCCCAGUGAAUGAAUGUCCGUUUUGUAAAGUUAAGUCGGAAAUUAUUCUUUUUAUAAGCCUGAAAAUAAAAAUGUCUUUAGUUUAAGCUGAGAAAAAAUAGAAAACGUAAAAAAAAAAAAGUCGGAAAUAUAAAAAAAACGUCAAUUUGCUGUAUUUUUUUUUUUUUUUUAUCAAUAUCGUGGCGUUUUGACAUUUAUUUGUACGUAAUUCCGGUUGUUGAUUUUGGCAGAGGCAACCGCACACACCGAACAAACAAACAAACAGCCCCAAACAGAAGCCUAGUCAAGCGUAUUCAAUAAUUACGUAGCAUUUCGUUGACUUAUUUUCAUUUCUUUGUACCGUUUGUCUGAUAAUUUCCUGUGUGUUUUUGUAAUGGCAUUUUGAGGAAGCUGCUCCAUGUGUACCAUUGUCAAUUUAACUAUAUCAUAAUGUGUAUAGGGUCCAAGGAGGGGAAAAUAAACUAAUAGUGAAUAUAAA